rnacentral:rRNA from 1 species
ACAGCAGCCGCCGCGGUAAUACGUAGGUGGCAAGCGUUGUCCGGAUUUAUUGGGCGUAAAGCGCGCGUAGGCGGACAUUUAAGUCAGGGGUGAAAUCCCGGGGCUCAACCCCGGAACUGCCUCUGAUACUGGGUGUCUAGAGUUCGGAAGAGGUAAGUGGAAUUGCGAGUGUAGAGGUGAAAUUCGUAGAUAUUCGCAGGAACACCAGUGGCGAAGGCGACUUACUGGUCCGAUACUGACGCUGAGGUGCGAAAGCGUGGGGAGCAAACAGGAUUAGAUACCCCGGUAGUCCCUGUCUCUUAUAA